rnacentral:rRNA from 1 species
GAUGAACGCUGGCGGCGUGCCUAAUACAUGCAAGUCGAGCGAACAGACGAGGAUCUUGCUCCUCUGACGUUAGCGGCGGACGGGUGAGUAACCCGUGGAUACCCUACCUAUAAGACUGGGAUAACUUCGGGAAACCGGAGCUAAUACCGGAUAAUAUAUUGAACCGCAUGGUUCAAUAGUGAAAGACGGUUUUGCUGUCACUUAUAGAUGGAUCCGCGCCGCAUUAGCUAGUUGGUAAGGUAACGGCUUACCAAGGCAACGAUGCGUAGCCGACCUGAGAGGGCGAUCGGCCACACUGGAACUGAGACACGGUCCAGACUCCUACGGGAGGCAGCAGUAGGGAAUCUUCCGCAAUGGGCGAAAGCCUGACGGAGCAACGCCGCGUGAGUGAUGAAGGUCUUCGGAUCGUAAAACUCUGUUAUUAGGGAAGAACAAAUGUGUAAGUAACUAUGCACGUCUUGACGGUACCUAAUCAGAAAGCCACGGCUAACUACGUG